CCAACCACUGGAACACAUGUCCAAAGUUCUGCGGGGCCAGCUCAGCUUCCCCUCAGAAGAAGUGCAACCACCUGCCAGAUGAAGGAGCCUUUUGAGAGGCAGCUGGCAUCGUGAUUGGACUGUACUUUGGCCUGUUCCAAAUCCAGCUUCAGCUCCAGAGACGGCAGGCGGGACGAGUCAACGGAGGCCGGGUGGACGAAGGGCAUGCAGCUGAGUACAAUCCAGAAACAACAGAGGAGGAGUGCAGUGGCCCAGGGCCACAACACACAGAGUAGCAUCGUAUGUCUCUUAGAAAACAUCAUAGUAGAGCCUUUGACAAAAGAACUACAGACUCUUCACAACCUGCUCAAACUCUUGGUACAGGACCUCACCACACGGGUCAAGAAGGUUUCUGUCUCAUUUCUACUCUGAAGCUCACCUUCUCCUGCUCAAACUGUUGACAAAUGUUUCUGCUGCUCUACAGUCUGGUCUCCAGAACUUUCUAAAAACUCUCAAAGUCUCUUCUGCUGCAGGUUGCUUUGUAGAACUGUUCCAGAAAACCUCACUAAACCACAUGGAGGGGCCUCAAGAUAGUCGUCCAAAUGAAACCGUACAAAAACCAAACUAGCACAAGCCAAACGCUAAAGUCUCCUGCAGCCUACCAGAGAACCUCUGAGAACAGAGAAUCAGGACAGGAACUCUUACCUUCUGGACAACCAACGUUGGUUCAUAAACAAGAAUACAGAAUGUGUCUGACCAAAAACCUCUGAAGACUCACUACAGCCAAGAUAAAGACACAACUCAGCUGCACCAAAUCCACUAAUCACUGCACACAUUAGCACCAUGUGCUAACUGUGGCUAAAGAACCACAUUUACCAAGACAACUAUCCAGUACAAAGCCCUAAAACACACCAAGAAACACAUUAAAGACGAUUUUACUGCUGGAAGCUGCAAGCCAACGCCUAAAGAACAAACUGAAGCAAUGGAGCCAAACACAGCUCAGUGGUGAAGAGAAGCAGAGGAAAUGUUUGGCUGCAGCUAAAUAAAGCAGGAAGAGACUGAGCUGCUCAGGUGUUCCUGAUAACGCCUAGCAGCCACCUGGACAGCCAAUAGGAACACAGCUUACUGGAAGUCCAGAGGGCUGGGUUAGUGAAGUAAAUUUAGUUUAAAAUUGAGGCAGAAAGUUAAUAAAGAAAGUUGAAAACCACCUUCUGCUACCUGAAAUCUCUGAGUUUUCACACAAAGAACACCUGAACAUGUCAAACUGGUUCCAUAGUAGAACCCUCAUUGUAAAAACGUCAUAGUAUGGUGUGUUGCUCAAAAAACAUUACCACCCGGCUGUCUAGGGUCGCCAAGGAGCAACACAAAAACAGGACAAACGCUGGUUUUCAGGGGGUUAGGAGGAUAUUUAUUUGAAAUAGUAAGUUUACAACAACACAUGUGAGCAGAAAAAUCACAAAGUCUGUCUUUAGUUCAGCUGAAAAUAUUAGUUUUUGUCUUUUUUAUUGACCAAACUUUUCAGGAAGUAGAUGAAGAAUAAUUAAAGCUCUCAUGUAGAAGUUCAACUUAUUUUGGAUCCUUGUGGAGAGUUUAAUCUUAGAGUUUGUAAAGCUGUUGAGUUUUUAGAGUCACAUGGAUUGUUUUGACAUUUAAUAACCGAGUCCUGAAAUAAAUUACAGUUGUGGAUUUCUGUCAUUUAGUCUGGACUAAACAAAUAACAGCAGCAUAAAUCUCAAACAUCAUUAUGAGUCUGGAUUGAGGUUUCUCACUUGAUAAUGAUCAAAACAUGAAAUUGAGGUUGGUUUAAAGGAAUAUUCCCCCUUAAAUCUUUGAAUGUUGACCUAAAAGGUUGGUUUCAGGAAGUAUUCCACCUCCAAGGUCCUCACACAUCCACCUUAAAGGAACAUUCCACCAAAAAUCCUUGGACAUGCACCUAAAAUGUUGCUUUAACCGAGUAUUCCAUCCAGAAUCCUCAAAGAGACCGGAGGGGCUAAAAGGAACACUCCACCUAAAACCUCAAAUAUAGACCCCAAAGGGUGGUUUAGAAAAAAAUCCUUCAAUGUAAACCAAAAAAGUUAGUAUGGAGGAAUAUUCCACCUGAAAUGUAGACCUGAGAAGUUGGUUUGGAAGAAUAUACCAUCCUAAACAUCCUUAAAUGUAGACUAAAAGACGGUUUGGAAGAAAAUUCCACCUAAAAUCCUCCAAUGUAGACCUAAAAGGUGAGUUUCAUGGUAUAUUCCACCUAAAAUUCACUACUGUAGACCUUGGAGGUUGGUCUGAUGGUAUAUUCCACCCAACAUCCUUGAACAUAAACUUUAAAAGUUCGUUCAAAGGAAUAUUCCACCUAAAAUCCUUCAAUGUAGACCAAAAAAUCUUGGUGUAAAGGAGUAUUACACCUUAAAUGUAGACCUAAAGGAUGGUUUGGAGUAAUAUUCUACUCUAAAAUCUUCCAAUGUAGACCUAAAAGGUUGAUCUGAUGGUAUAUUCUACCCAACAUCCUGGAACAUUUACCUAAAAGGUUGGUUUAAUGGUAUAUUCCCAGAAGAACCCUUGAACAUUGGGCUUAAUGGUAUAUUCCACCCAAAAUACUUGUACAUAUACCAAGAAGUCAGUGUAAAGGAAAUGUAGACGUAAAAGGAUUGUUUAAAGGAAUAUUUAAAUGAUUAUUUUCAUUAUUUAAUAAUCUGUUAUCAGUCAGAACCCUGGCAAACCUAUUUUCAUCAGUUUUUUUUAGUGGAAGUCACAAAUAAAGGAGCUCUUGGUUUUUCCCGGCGUUAGUGAGUCCAAAGCUGCUGUUUCAACACAGACACGUUCACAUGCAUCCACAAACCUCUCAGCACUCAAACACCCACAGACAGGAGGCCAGCUGGACCGAGGCUCGGUGGCGUCCUCAGACCCACGAGUCGGGGAGUCGGUGAACUUGUUGGUCCGGUUUGAAGGCCUCCAUGUGGUCCACUAGAAGUCCACGUAGUCGGUGUUGGCUUUGAACUGCAGCGACUGGCCACCAUCAGCUGGACCGGCUCGUCCUCGUAGGGCUCCUCCUGUAGCCUUGAAGGGACCACAGGAACAUUCAGUAGCUGUUGGAGUUCUUCCUGUCAGGCUCCUGGUAGAACGGCUCUGAAGAAUCUUGUACUUGUCUUACCUGGAACAAUCUAACAGCCUAAACUGUUAACAGUGGUGUAAAGAAGCAAACACAGGCAUAGAUUAGGACUCAAACUAGAUUUAUUUUAGAAAACAAAUCAGCUUAGAGGCAUUUGUUCACACAUGUGGCUGAAUAGGAGGCCAUCCAAUCAGAUUCGAGGUCUUCACUCUGUAGGUUGUUUGUUGGGUGAGACUCUUGGACCUCCAUCAGCUGACGUGGAUGUUUGAUGGUCUUCUUCUCUAGUGCCAGAUGAUUCAUCCAUGAAUUCAGCAGCUACAGACUGAAAUGAAGCUCAUGCUGCCGUUAUUGAAUUCCUGUUCCAGAUCAAAUGUUCAGAGCUCACCUUGAAUGCAUGCCGUCUGCUGUCUGAUAGUUUUUCUCAUUGUAGUCUUCAAUAAAGUCUUUUUCCUCA